CAGCUUAUAAGGAUGAGAUGAUCAGUAACCACAAUACAAGGAUGGGACAUGGUUUCCGCACAGAACUUAUAUCCAUGCUUUUGGAUUUGAAACCACGAUUCUUGAGGUUUCCUGGAGGUUGUUUUGUAGAAGGUGACUGGCUAAGAAAUGCAUUCAGAUGGAGAGAAUCAAUUGGUCCAUGGGAAGAGAGGCCUGGACACUUCGGGGAUGUUUGGCAUUACUGGACUGAUGAUGGGCUUGGAUAUUAUGAGUUCCUUCAGCUUGCGGAGGACCUGGGUGCUGCCCCAAUAUGGGUAUUCAACAAUGGAAUAAGCCACAAUGAUGAAGUUGAUACUGUAGCUAUUGCCCCUUUUGUAAAGGAUGUAUUGGACAGUCUGGAAUUUGCAAGGGGGAGUGCAGAUUCAACAUGGGGCUCUGUUAGGGCUGCAAUGGGGCACCCUGAACCUUUCCUGGUCAAACAUGUCGCAAUUGGAAAUGAAGAUUGCGGGAAAAAGUUCUACCGUGGUAAUUACCUCAAAUUCUACAAUGCUAUAAGAGAGGCCUAUCCAGACAUUCAGAUGAUUUCAAACUGUGAUGGUUCAUCUAGACCACUUGACCAUCCUGCGGAUUUGUAUGAUUUCCAUGUCUAUACUGAUUCUAAGACUUUGUUUAACAUGAGGAGCACAUUUGACAGAACAUCUCGUAGUGGACCUAAGGCUUUUGUGAGCGAGUACGCUGUCUGGAGAAGUGACGCGGGUAGAGGCAGUCUUCUUGCUUCGUUGGCUGAAGCUGCUUUCCUCACUGGUCUGGAGAAGAACAGUGAUAUCGUUCAGAUGGCAAGUUACGCUCCACUCUUCGUGAACGACAAUGACCAAACGUGGAACCCGGACGCUAUCGUCUUCAACUCCUGGCAGCACUAUGGAACUCCUAGCUACUGGAUGCAGACGAUUUUCCGCGAGUCAAGCGGUGCCAUGAUCCAUCCGGUUAAUAUCAGUUCCCGGUACUCGAGUUCGCUGGCCGCGUCUGCGAUCACGUGGCAGGAUGCAGAGAAUAGCUUCCUGAGAGUGAAGGUCGUGAACUUCGGGUCGGACACCGUUAACCUCACGGUCUCCACGAGCGGACUCGGGGCCAGCGUCAACGCGCUGGGAUCAACCGCCACCGUCCUCACGUCUGGCAACGUCAUGGACGAGAACUCCUUCAGUAACCCGAACAAGGUUGCGCCGGUGAAAAGCCAGCUGAGCAACGCCGCGGAGCAGAUGCAGGUCACGCUGGCUCCUCACUCCUUCACCGCCUUCGAUCUGGCGCUGGCUGAGCCCAAGCUUGUGGCGGAGAUAUGAUGUGUGUGCUGUUAGCGAUCUUGAUCGAUAAAAAGGCUUUGUACUGGUGUACCAUGAUACAGGAUAACGUACUACGUACUGUUGCUUCAUGAAAUAAAAACCACAUCAGGUUUUUGCUUGGUGUUGGUUGGUUUCCUUUCU